rnacentral:rRNA from 1 species
CUCGUAGGCGGUUUGUCGCGUCGGGAGUGAAAUCCACUGGCUUAACUGGUGGCUUGCUUUCGAUACGGGCAGACUGGAGGUAUGCAGGGGAGAACGGAAUUCCUGGUGUAGCGGUGAAAUGCGCAGAUAUCAGGAAGAACACCUAUGGCGAAGGCAGCUCUCUGGGACGGUACUGACGCUGAGACGCGAAAGCGUGGGAGCGAACA